CGGAGAUGUGACAGGAGCUCAACAUCACAGGGACCCAACGUGGCCUUCUAGGAUGACCACUUCAGCAGCUGACACUCCUAGAAGUCCUUGGAAGAACUGCAACUACAAAUGGAUACCUGAAGACUAGCUCCAUCUCUCACUAGCUGCCUGCUCAACCUCGCUGGAUCUGUCUCCCCUCCACUAAGCCAGAUGCUCUGGUCCCCAGUGGCAAGGGACCCAUCUCCAGUGUCUCAGCACGUCACACCUCCAUGAAACCUGCUGUGUGGCAGCUAAGCCUGUGGAAACAGCGAUGAAUCAUAAGAGUAAGGGAAUCCCCGUGUCAGCACCCGCUGAAAGCAGCAGCUGAAGCCCUGUCCACGCUGGGAGCAAGACAGCCUGUGCGGGAAACCUGUUUCACCACGCCGGGUGGUUAGCCUUGCUCACUAAGCGUCUGCUUUUGCCUGCUCAUUCUCUAAGUGCAUCCAGCUUACAGUUUCUUCCUGGUGAGUGUCCCUCAGAUUCUGGAAUGUUCUGCAGCAUUUCUUCACCAGGAUGGGUGGAAAGGUCACAAGCACUGUCCUUCCACUUGAGUUUUGAGUUUGGCAAAAGGCAUCUUUUCCUUCUUCAGUAUAUUUUCCACAUUUUCCUGAUGAUUUCUUCUCACUUAAUGGAGUUUUUUGAUGACUGUGACCCCUCAUGAAUCCAGCUAGCUAAGUUAAGGAGGGAGUGGGUUUAAACACUGAGUUUCUCUCCAACAAAAUCAUCGUUCUUCAACAUUCAACAAGAACCAAUAAAGCAGAAGGCCUGAAUCAGGCUCAGAACCACUGUCUGACAAGGACAAGCUUGCUACAACUCAGCUAGGAUGGUGAUAAACAUGGGCUUCAGCAUUUCAGACUCUUGAAUCUGGAAAACAACUCAGCUAAAAUUUAUAUACACUGUGUAAUGUGAAGCUUGGCUAAAAGGAAAGCUGCCCUUGGAAAGAGAUAGAUGAUUUUAAACAAGGCUAAUUUAAAAACCCCAAAUCAAAGAUAAAUCAGCUUUCUGAACUUAGAGGGGGAGCCUCCAUGGCAGAGGUCCACACAGCCCACC